rnacentral:tRNA from 1 species
GCCUGGGUGGCUUAGUUGGUUAAGCGUCUGCCUUUGGCCCAGGUCAUGAUGCCAGAGUCCUGGGAUCAAGUCCCACAUCAGGCU